rnacentral:tRNA from 1 species
ACAAAUGUAACUUAACAGCAAAGCAUAGUGCUGAAGCCACUAAAAUGAAUUGGCACUCCAAACAUA